rnacentral:tRNA from 1 species
UAGCUCAGUUGGUAGAGAGAGCAUGGUGCUUGCAAUGCUAGGGUUGUGGGUUUGAUUCCCAU